UACAAAGAGCUCAGUCCUAUUCAUUUCUUAAGGCAUUUUCCCACUAUAAAGAAAAGAGACAAGGGCCUUUCGUCAGCCUACGAUCUCUAUUGAAGAAGACAAUGGGUUAGACUGCUUAAGCAAGAGCGAAAUUAGUUGGAGAGGAAAGGAAGCAGCUAUCUUGUAUCUAGGAAGAAAGAUCCGCCAUUCGGUCUACCCCGAGAUCGAUAGAAUGGAAAGGUUACCAGCCCAGUAAGAAGGAAAGGCAAGCAGGGCAGAAGGAAAGGAA
rnacentral:lncRNA from 1 species